rnacentral:tRNA from 1 species
GUGAUAGCUCAGUGGUAGAGCACUUGCCUAGCAUGUUUGAGGCCCAGAGUUCAAUCCCCAGUACCACA